UUAUAGCCCUGAUCGCAGCGGCAUCCUUUUGGGGCUGGGUUCGCCCCAAAAGAUAUAGCGGAGAGCAGGAACCUUG
rnacentral:sRNA from 1 species